UUUAGAAAGAGCCCAGGUUGAUCGGCCUGGUGAAGCCCAAGCCGAUCGGCUAGGGGUCUUCUGGCCCCCUGGCCCCCUUCGACGCUCAUUUUUGGCAAGCACUCCUCCAAGAUUACUUAAGAGCUAAGAUUGUGAUGAUAAGGCAAGUACCACUUCCGGAUCAAAGAGGAAUCGAAGAAGAUCAAGCGGAGAUUUGGAAAGUUAUCAAAGAUCAAUCUCAUCCCGAAGCUAUCGGCGUGCCAAGCCC
rnacentral:lncRNA from 1 species